AAGUCGUAACAAGGUCUCCGUUGGUGAACCAGCGGAGGGAUCAUUACUGAGUUAUUAAAACUCCAAACCCUUUGUGAACCUUACUGUCGUUGCCUCGGCGUGAGCUACGGCUACCCUGUAGUUACCCUAUAGCUACCCUGCAGCUACCCUAUAGUUGACCAGUAGCUACCCUGUAGUUACCCUAUAGUUACCCUGCAGCUACCCUAUAGUUGACCAGUAGCUACCCUGUAGCCGGCUUAUGGCCCGCCGAAGGACCGCUAAACUCUUGUUUUUUACCACUGUUUCUCUGAAUUUUAAACUUAAAUAAGUUAAAACUUUCAACAACGGAUCUCUUGGUUCUG
rnacentral:misc_RNA from 1 species